GGGGGGGGGGGGGUGGCGGGACGUGCACCGAGGCCCGGGACAAAGGGAAAAGCCUCAAGUAUGCCGAAAAAUAACAUCCUCUCCGCUCCCAGCGCUGCCGGGUGAUUCAUGCUUUUUGGGUGACUCAAAACGCCUGGUUUUCCUUAGUUCGGACACAGCGCCGAGGAUUUCUUGCUGCUUCACAGGCCCCCCCGCCCCCCCGUCGUGGGACCCGACUCGGACUUGUCCCCCCGGGUGGCCGCCGGGGUGGGGGCUGGGGGGCCGGGGCCUCUUCCUCUUGUCCUUGUGCAGUCGGGGCGGGAGUCCGGGGAGGAGGGUCUUCCCUUGGACCAAGCGGGGCCUGGCGUUGGCGUUGGUGUUGGUGGCGGGGCGGGGGCUCCUCUCCCGCCGGCCCUGGGCGAGGAGUGAGGCCGCCGCGGGCCCGGGGAAAGUCGGGUUCCUGCUCCCUCCUGUACCUGUCAGAUGGGGCUCCGGGAUGGUCCCGGGGCGCCCACACCUGCCUCUUUGAAAAGGCAGGUCCCGGGGCCCCAGCCCUGGAGUGACAGGAGGAGGGGCUUGUAUGGGAACAGCCCCCCGAGAAGCCGGGCUGUGGCCCCACUGGUCUUUGGGGACCUGACACUGGCUGCCCCCCAGCUCGGGGAACACAGGAAGGCUUUGGGGCCUUGAGCUUUGUUGGAUUUGCACCCUGGUCUGCAUCCCCUUGGGGUGUCUGUGCCCCCUGCCCCACCCCAGAGCUUUCCGUCCUGCCCGGAGAGACAUGCCUGCUGGGAGACCGGCUGGCCCUCUGCGUUUUCAGAAGAACCCGAGGAGGGAGGCGCUGCGGCCAAGGGUUCGCAGGGUCUGACUUCCUCUCGGGUGAGGACAGUCGGGAGUUGGGUCAGGGCAGGAGUCAUGGCCUGGGACGCAGUUCUGUCCUCUGGGCAGGUGCCCAACAGCCAGAAAAGACUCCUUUCAUGUGAGCCAGAAGCCACGCAGACCCUGAAGCUGCGGAGUCGGACGAUGGUUGGGACCGAGGCCAGGCAGGUCAGCCCGGGUGGAGCUGGGUCUGGCCAGGUUCUGGCUGUGGGUUGGGCUUGUGCCGGGAUUCCCUUUCUCCACUGGGCGCCUUUUUCUGGGAAGCAGAGUAUGAGGUAAUGAGGGUCCUGGCCGGGAGUCCGGAGACCUUGCUUCUUGUCGGCGGUCACUUUCAGUUAUAUGACCUUGAGCAAGUCCCUUUGCCUCUGUACAGUUCAUUUCCUUUAAAAAAUAUUUUUAUUGAUUUCAGAGAGGAAGGGAGAGGAAGAGAGAGAUAGAAGCAUCAGUGAUGAUAGAGAAUCAUUGAUUGGCUGCCUCUUGCCUGCCCCCUCAACCCCCCCCAACUCCCCCCACUGGGGAUGGGGCAUGUGCCCUGACCGGGAAUUGAACCCUGACCUCCUGGUUCAUGGGUGGACGUUCAAUCAAGGAGCCACACCAGCAGGGCUAGUUCAUUUCCUUUUCUAUAAACUGGGAGUAGAGAUUCCUGACUUACCUCAGUCACCAGGCUAUUGUGAAAAGGAAGGACUGAUGUUUUAUUAGAUUUUUUUUCUUACAAUUUAAAAAGACAAACAAAAAACACCUUUGGAAUAGUAAAUGUGGGGUUGGCGGAGUUCUGAGAGUUUCCUUGUUAUUCCAGGCAGUCGUCAGAGGGCUUGCUUUCUGAUUCUUAGCUUAGAUUAACUAGAAUGAAACAUGUAUAUUUGAGUUGAAUCUGUUAAAAAUUUUAAAAAAUCUGUUGAUAAUUUGAUUCAGAGGAGUGGGGUUACACAUUCAAAGUACUUUUCCUCUUUCACUGUGUUCACAGUUGAAUUGUUGAUUUUAAAACAGGCCUGAAUGGUAGUUUCUGAACUAAUGAGUGGGGCUAUUUGUGCUGCGAGAGAUUAGGUCAGCCUUCCACCUCCUGGGAUCUUUCAGGAAGAAACUGCUCUUGAAACGAGGAGGGGGACCCAGAGCUGCUGCCAAGAGCUUUCGCCGCCGCUCUCUGCAUCCGGCCCCUCCCUCACCACCCCAGCUUCCUAGUCUCAUCCUCCUGGCUUCUUCAGAAAACCUCAGCCAUUGGUUCCCAUCAGUCUCCCCCAAGCCCUUGCUUCCUGCUCCCUUUUCUGCCCUGAGCUUAUUUUAGACCAUCAAGGCUGGAAGACAGAUCAGCGAUAACUGAGGCCACCCCCCUGUAAGAGAGAGGUACAGAAACCUCUUUCAGGGACUGCAUGGUAGCCUCAGACUGGAAGAGCCUUAAGAUCAGCUAACCUACUUUUAACCAGGAGGAGACCAACCCUAGCAGCUUGCCCGGUUCGGGGACACCGUGAGGAAUCUUCAUCCACUGUUCUUGCCCUACUCGUAUACAGGGUCUCCAGUGGCCUCCCAUACACUUGUGGUGAGGAGGAUUGCUUCAAGGGUAAUGAUGCUACAGAAGGUUCCUUGGAGAGCAGGCUUCGGGUAUCCCACUAGGGACCUUGAGAUUGCUAGCUCGAGCAGACAAGUUCCGUGGUCUUUCCUCACUACUGGAAUUCAGAGUGAUCCAGGGAAAGGAAUAAGCAACAAUCCUCUGUUACCUGUCAGGGCAUCCUCCAGUCCCAGCCCCUGUCCACAGGGUAGCAUCUGUCCUUCAGUUCUUCUCCGAUGCAUUUCCUGCGUAGAUAGAGACUCAGGUUCAUAGUUAAAACCUUUUUUAACCUAAACUGUAUGUACGUAUGCACAACGUAUAUUUUCUGGUUAGUAACCUGUCUUACAACUCUCUUCAUAGUAUUAAAUACAAAUAUACAAAAGUCAUUGUGUAUAGUGUACCACCAGAUAUGUAUCAUAGUUUUACUGUAUUGAUGGACAGCAAGGUUACUUCUGGGUUUUACUAUUAUAAACGAAAUGCUUCCACGAACAGCUUUCUAAAUGUUUUUGGGUACAUGUGUGCCUGCAUGAAUGCAAGUAUUUUUCUGGGGCAAAUACUUAAAAAAGAUGACAGGAUUGACAUCAAGCGCAUUACAUCUUCUAUAGGUAGCACCAAAUUGCCUUUCUAAAAUGGCUGUGUCAUACUAUUGCCAGGAUUGUAUAUUAUCAAAUGAUUUAAUUCUUUAAUAUUUUCCCUAAUUACCAGUGAUGUUAAGCCUGUCUUUAUAAUAUUUGUUAAAUAUAUUUUAUUUCUUUAGUGCGUGCCAGUUCCUGUUGUUUGCCGUGUUUUUGUUUUUGUUUUUCUAAAUUGGGUUAGUUCUCCACCCCCAUUGAUUUGUAGGAGUUUUCUGUAUAUACUCGAGGUCAGGGAUCCACAAACCUUUUCUAUAUAAGGCCAGAUAGUAAAUAUUUUAGCCUUGUAGGUCAUACAGUUUUUGUAGCAACUAUGCAACUUUGCUAUUAUAGUGCAAAAACUGCAGUAUAAAGCUGCUGUAGACAAUACAUAAACUAAUGGGAAAUGACUGUUUCCAAUAAAACUUUAUUUACAAAGCCAGUCAGUUUUCAGGAUUUGGUGACUCCUGUUCAAGGUAUUAAUCUGACACCUGUCAUAUAGCGCAGUUAUUUUCUCUCAGGGCGUCACUUGUCUUUAAAUUUUUAUGUAUGGUCAUUUCUCUAUAUCAUAUGGUAGUUUUAAAUAUGAAUGCAGUUAAAUUUCCAUAUUUUCCUUUAUAGUUUGCAGUCCUUUUAAUAAAUAGUGACUUUUUAUUUAUUUUGUUAACCCUCACCCAAGGAUAUUUUUCCAUUGAUAUUUUUAGAGAGUGAAAGAAGGGAGACACACACACACACACACACACAACCAUCAUUGUUGAGAGAGACAUAUUGAUUGGUUGCCUCCUGCACACAUCCUGACCGGGGUGGUGGAUGGAACCUGCAACCCAGAUACAUGUCCUUGACCAGGUAUUGAACCCAAGACCUUUUGGUGUGUGGGCUGAUGCUCUAACCACAGGAGCAACACCGGUCAGGGCUGUAGUUUGUAGUUUUAAUCUUAGCAUACAAAGGUCUUCUUUCCAAAGUUAUAAAAGCAUUUCUAAAUGCUUUUAUGCAUAUGCUCAUGAUAGCACUAUUCACAGUAGCCAAAACAUAGCAACAACCCAAGUAUCCACGGAUGGAUAAAUGGAUAAGCAAAUUGUGGUUUAUCCAUAUAUUGGAAUAUUAUCCUAUAUAAUAAAAGGCCAGGACCAUAAGUGUCACAACUGAAUGACCGCUCAACCCGUCGCCAUGAGGUGCAUUGAACACCUCUUGGUCCCCCCGCCCCCCUCCAGGGCUCCAAUUGCAGCAUGGUGAACGGGGAACCACGGCAAACGGCGGGGGCGAGGUGGGGAGUGGCGGCGGGGCAGGACUGGGGACUGUUAAGCAGGGCGGGCGGUGGAUGGCGGGCAGCAGCAAGCAUUGAGGGGCAGCUGCAGAGAAGGUUGUGGAGCCUUGCGGGGGUGGGGAGCUUCAUGGAGCGUUGCAGGGUGUCAGAGGCAAGCGUUGUGGAGCUUUGCAGGGCGGGGAGCGUAGUGGGUGUCACCGGGCGUGCCGAGUGUCGGACAUGGCCCUGAUCACAGGCGAGGCCUAGGGACCCUACUUGUGCACGAUUUUGUGCGCUGGGCCUCUAGUUCAGUUAUAAAGAGGAUUGAAGUACUGAGACAUGUUACAGCAUGAUUGACCCUCAAAAACAUGAUGUAAAGUGAAAGAGUCAGACACAGGGUCACAGACUGUAUGAUUUGUUUAUAGGAAAUAUCCAGAAUAGGUAAAUCCAUAGAGACGAAGCAUAUUAGUGGUUGUCAAGGUUCUGGGGGAGGGUGGAAUGAGGAGUGGCUGCUGAUGGGAUCAGGUUUCUAUUUUGGGGUGAUGAACUGUUCUAAACCAGAUAGAGAUGCUGUUGCAUAGCAUGUGAAUGUACUAAAUGCCACUGAAUUGAUCACUUUAAAAUGGUCCAUUUUAUGUGAAUUUUACCUCAAUAAAAAUAUGCACAAAAAUUGCAAGUGCGUGUGGACACACAGGUACAUACUUCCCAAACCUGCCCUCUGCUUUUUGUGUCAUUUGGAGCGACUAUCUGAUUAUUUCUAGAGUCUAGAUCAGGGAUUGACCUUUUUUUUUUUUUUUAAAAAAAAGUCAGAUAGUAAAUACUAUUGCAGGCUUUGUAGGCUAACUGGCUACAUCGAGGAGUUUGUGUAGGUACUCAUAGAACCAUUUAGAAUGUAAAAGCCAUUCUUGGUUUCGGGCCUUAAGAAAUCCAGUGGGUUAGAUUUGGCCUACCAGGCUUAGCUUGCCAAACCCCUGGGUUAGACCCACCACAGCUGUAAUUUAAAAUUUUCUAGUUGCCACAUUCAAGAAGUAAAAAGAAAUAGGUGAAGUUAAUCUUAAUUGACCUAACAUAUUCAAAAUAUUCUCCUUUCAACAUGUAAAGAAGUUAUGUGCAGUUAUACUUAUGGCACCUUUCAGUUCAGACUAGCCACUUGCCAAGGGCUCCGAGCCAUGAGUGGCUGGUGCUGCAGUGUAAGACCAGACGCUGGAACUGCAGCAGCCCUGUCCGCAGCUGGACCCUUGGGGCCCGGGGGGAAGAAGAGGGGGGGAAGCUGUGCUUGUAGGUUUCUGUCCUCCCUGAGGGCGCUGUGCAGAGCAGUUUCUCUCGGGACUCUGUGACCCUCGCCUCCUUAGUGUCUUUUUUAGCCAACUUUCAGGGGUUCUUGCUUUGAAUAUUACAUCUUCUUUGAUGAGACUUUUUAGUAUGGUUGAGAGCGUUGGGCCUCUGAUCCUCACUCCCUAUCCAGGGGCAAAAGGGAGGAAGGUGCUGGCCAAGGCCACGUUGGCCUGUCCCUGGAGAGAGCCUGCGAGCAGGGGGCAGGCUGGUGUGCCCCUCCAGGCUCCUCACUGGAUGUGCUGGCUGCGCUCUGACACAGCCCUUUGUCUGUGCUGAGUGUUUGCAGCUGUGUCCAGCUGCCUCUCCCUGUGUUCUAGCUGCUGCCUGACCUUUGUCUCUGGAUUCUUUUUCCCUUGCUACACAGAAGGACUACAAUGGAAGACCUAUGUUCUAUUCUUGGCACAAACUGCAGGGUGACCCAGGAAGGUCACUUAUGUUCUUGGCGCCUCGGUUUCCCACUCACAAAGUGGGUGCCCAUAUUCGCUGUGCAGGGAGUGGUGUACUAAUGGAAUGAAGGGAGGAUGCUGGCCAGGCCUGUGGAGGUGGCUGGACCCCCUUGGUAGUAAUAUUCCAGGAAGUGUCCUGAGGACCACUGCUGUGGGGGUAGCCUUUGUUUAGGCUGUCCCUGAUUACUAGGACCUGAUAUUGUUUAGCUGAAAUAAAGAACUUGCACUUGGAAUGUUUACUAGUAUUGUUAAAUUGUUCUCAAGCUGCUAUUUAGCCUUAAAAGAGAGGGGAGAGCAUUGAAAGCAGGGAAAAGAGACACAGGGAAGUAACUUCUACUGUGACGUCCUAAUACUGUGGGAGGGAGGUGGGUGGACAGGGAGAGGUGUAAGAGCACUGAGUGCUAAUUUGGAAGCAUUCAACCUGAGAAAAUAGGCUUUUCAUUCAUCCUUGAAAACUCACUCUCCAAGCCUCAUUUUCCCCUUUGAAAUGACACAGUUGCACCAGGUCAGUGGUUUUGAAACUUUCAUUACAUCUUGGAUCCUUUUACUCAAAGUAAUCACAUACGGAAAUGCCAUAUAUGAGACAUAAAAAGUGACAAUUCUGGAAUACAUUAGGUAGAAGCCUGGAGCUUGGCUUCUUGUCCACCUCCGCUCCUCAUCUCUGGAGCCUCCUGUCACUUCCCUAGAUUGUGUGGUUCCUCCACUUUUAGCGGUUGAGGGUCCUACGAAAUCACCCAGGAUGGUUUCACAGCUGCCCUGGGAUGGAACACUGGGUGCCCAUCCCCACUGCUCCCAUCACAGUACCACUUCGUUUGGAGGUGAGUGCCAGUGGUUGAUUCGCUGGCAUUUGGGCUCUGUAGACUGGGACUGGAGUCUUCCAGACCACUCACUGUGUUUUUUUUCUAGUCAGGCUCAUUGUAGUUCACAUGAAACCACAGCUUUUUGCCAGGAGCUUAUAACCCUCUGCUUCCUCUCCUCCAACUCAGCUUGGCGUUUGCAUGUUGUGCUGGACGCGGGGCAACUUGCAAUGAGAGUGAGCAGAUGGGCCCUUCUGAGUCCACUCGCUGAAUCAAGUGUUACAGACCAUGACCUCAUCCUGCCCUUGGCAGCUGGGAGGAGAGCAGGGCUGGUGGCAGCAUGACCACAAGGGAGGUUGGGUGGCCCGAUCAAGGCCACCAAGCUGCCUAGCCAUGGGCUGUGAUAUAGAACUCAGUUCCAUGAGGCUUCCACACCAGUGUUCGUGUGGCCUGGAGUCUGUCUUCCUGCUCACUUUGCUUGUAAACUUGUGCUGUUUCUGUAGCAGGCUGGGGUAUUGCAAAAUAAAUCAAAGCUAAUGGACUUCUAAUUCCUCGCCAGGGGAGAGCAAGGACCCACAAGGGGCUGGGUGAUCUCCCUCCAUUAAGCAAAAGUGAGGUAUUGCCCCCAGUUAGCAGAUGGAGCCACCGAGGCUCAGAAAGAUUCAGCGACCUGCCUAGGUCACAGGGAGGCCAGUGUGGGUUUUCCCAAAGUUCUGUUUGGCCUUCCUGUCUGAUAACCUUUGCUAUAAUAAAAAACAGGGCCUUACCCUGGCUUGGAUUUCUUAGUUGCUGGGGUGUGUGGGGUAUAUGUGGGGAGUCGGCAGUUCAGGACAUUGUGCAGGUCCUCCUGCAGGUUCUGAAAUCUCCUUAGCCCCGGGGUAUCCCACGUUCCCCAGGCAGGCUGCUGGCCUGUGGCAGUGACCACACCUUUGGCAUAGCCCUGCACAGGAAGUACUGUUUUCCCCUGAAGCAGGAAUUCAGAAUCAGGAAAUAGUUGUGUCCUUGAUCUCUGUGGGUCCUAAAGCACAGGGCAGACCACAAGGCUCCACGCGCACCUUCAAGACUGGUCUCUCACCUGAGUCCUGGUCCGUAGCUAAAGGGGCUGGUGGGCAGUGGCUGCUGGGAGUCUCAUUUGAAUCAGAGAAAGAGCCAGCAUCUGCAGGCUUCUGGGUGCCACACCUAGAGCCUUUCCACUCAGGUUGGUGAGCGACCUGGAUGUAGGGAGCCUUGGGCUAAGUAGGGUUGGGGUGUUUAUUUGUCUUCUGUCUGGGGACCCACUCUGACCUAGAAAUGUGACCCAGUUCCACUUUCCAUUGAAAUGUGCUCAAGGAAACGGAACGGUGUGUGUGUGUGUGAAGCGGGGGAGGCGAGGACUUUCAGCUCAGAUUCGGAUUAGCAUCCUGGCUCCAUUUUAAUUAGCAUGUUACUCAGAGUUUGUGUCUGUGUCCCUCCUCUGAAAACCGGGGGCUGUAAUAAUACCAUGCCUUUGGGUGUCAUGAAGGUGGUGGAAGGGGAAAGAAAUAGCAAGUGCCAAAUUUGUCAAUGCUUGGGUAUGUGGUGGGAGCUCAGUAAAUGGGGUUCAUUUCGCCAGCACUGCCCCAGAGAGAGGCCCUCCCUCUGUGAUUUUGUGGACUGGCUGACCCCACUGUGUUUCUGUGUACCCCCACACCCACAUAACAUAGCCCAGGCUGCCUCCUCUCCCACUGAGCUGCUUGGGAUCACCCUAGCAACUUCCUCAUAUUAGCCCCCAGGGACUGGAAGGGCCAUAGUCAUUUUGCUUGUUUGGGUUUGAUUUUUCAGCAAUUAAGUAUAGUAGUAAAGAUUGAAUUGGUUUUAAGAAUUUGUAGUGGGCAGGAAAUGAAGAGAACAGGUGCCAUCAACUCAAGAGUUCACAUUAGAGCGUGUGCUGAUCCAGGGGACAGUGGCCAAUAGCCAGCACAGCAGCCCCCCAAGCCCCUGCCAAGCCCAGGGAAGUGCACAGUGCAGGUCUCAUGAAUGGCAGUGGCUGAUCCCAAUUUCAGAAGUCACUUUGGUGGGAAGUGUCAGAGUUGCCAUCAGCAAAGAGGGGGGAUUAACACAUUCCACUUAUCGACUGGUGUCCCUGGGAGCAGUUGUCUGGGAAUCAAAGUCCUCAUACCCUGGGGCCUGGGUGCAUUGGCUAGAGGAGCGUAGAGAGCAGCCAGGUCCAGGCCCACGUCGCUGGGCAGGUGGGCAGGAGAUCUCCACCCCACUGCCCUCCCAGCUUUUAAAAAGGAUUGCAGCCUUUUGCCAAGGGACCUGUCUCUAGGGGCCUAACAAGUAGAACUGGCUUCCUUGUGAAAGCCUGUGAACAAGCUCAUCUCACAAGCAGACGCCAUCUCGGCACAGUUCCCAUCUAGAAAUCCUGUGAGCUUAGGAGUCCUCUUCUUUGGGGAGCUGGGCCAGCAAGUAUGGCCACACAGCCUCUGAUGGCAGAGGUUUGCCUAUACUUAAAUCGCAGGAGCAGUUGACAUGCUCUGGGAAUAUUUAUUGAGGCCCUGGUGGCAUUCAUAGUAAACAGGCCACUAUUAACUCACUUAUAGUCACAGCAGCCUUAUGAAGUACUAGAGAGGUGAGAAAACUGAGAUGGAAAGAGGUUAUUGUAACUUGCCCAAGGUAAUACAGUAGGUGGUAGAGCUGGGUGCAGACCCAGACAGUCUAACGCAGGGCCUCCUCCUUCCACUGUUUCCCAUGCAACGUAAGUGGGGCCUUCUGGACCCUCGGUCUCUGGCUGUGUGUGGCCCUUGGCCCCUUGUGUCAGGGGUGAAGGGCUGUCCUGCCAGAAGGGUGUGUGUGUGCUGGGAAGGGGGUGGCUGGAGGUUGAGGCUUGGGCUGAACUUACGUAGACUUGUUUCUUUUUUUCCUACCUGUUUUUUAAUGGAAGCACUGCUUUUUGAGGGAUGGGGGUGACUCUUUCAUGCAAAGCUCUUACCCCAGAAAUUUGUCCCUACACUUUCUCCCUUUGCCACAAAUGGUGUCAUGUUCCAAAAAUCCCACGGCCAUGACUCCUUGUCAAGACCAUACGGAAGAGGCAGCAAAAAAAUUUUUUUAUCCUCACCCCAGGAUAUUUUUCCCAUUGAUUUUUAGAGAGUGGAAGGGCGGGAGGGAAGGAGGGGGAGACAGAAUGGGGGAAAGAGAAAGAGAGAGAGAUGAGAGAGACACAUUGAUUGGUUGCCUUCUGCACAUGCCUCUUCUGGGCCAGGGGUUAAACCUGCAACCCAGGUGUGUGCCCUUGACUGGGAAUUGAACCUAUGACCCCUUGGUCUGUGGGCAGAUACUCUAACCACUGAGCAUACCAGCCAGGGCUGGGAGAGGCUUUUUAAAAUGUCACUUUCCCCCUCUUUCUUUAACUGCUGUAGUCCAGGGAGCCUGGGCUGGACUUGCAGGGUAUGUGUGUGGGCAGAGGGGUGAGUGGGUAUCUGUGGGAAGUGAGAGGGAAGAAUGAAGAGCAGACCCUCAACUGUGUAUCAUUGCCCUCUGUGCCUGGGAUCUAGUAAGCUCUGUGCAUGCUCAUGCAUGCAUGUGUUUGAGGGGGGGGGAUGUUUAGGUGAAAUUCACAUGACAAAAUUAACCAUUUUUUGAAAAGUUCAAUUCAGUUGUAUGUAGUACAUCCCCAGUAUUGUGCAAACACCACCACUCUAGUUUAAAAUAUUUCAUCACUCUGAAGGAAUACCAGCAACUAUUGCAUGGUGGUUCUCUACACUUCACUCCCAGUCCAUAGCAACCAUCAGUCUGCUUUCUGUCUCUGUGGGUUUACUUAUUCUGGAAAUUUCAUCAAAAUGGAAUUGUAGAAUAUGCGAUUUUUUUUUGGGGGGGGGUCUGGCUUCUUGCACAGCAUGUUUUCAGAGUUCAUACAUGUGGUAGCAUGAAUCAGUACUUCAUUGCUUUUUUUUAUGACUGAACUGGUGGCCCGGUGCAUGAAUUUGUGCACAUUGAAAGGAAAUUAAUUAGAAGAAAUGUUUUAAUAUCACUAUUCGCCCUUUCUCGAUAAUAGAAGUGUCAACUAAAUUCACGAUUGACAGUGACAGAUUGAAACACAUGCAUGUGAUUGACACCAGUGAGAGCUUUAUAUGUAUCGCACAUGUGCGAGUCAACUUAGCCUUUUACAGAUAUAGAACAAACUUGCUUAAUUAGACCUGCUUUCUGAUGUAGCUAAACUUUUUCCAUCCCAGUGAAGCACUCCAACUUCUCUUUCAGAUAAUUGUCAGCAACACAGCAGUAAAUACCAACACAAAGCAGAUUAUUAUUGUAGAUCACGCAGGGAGAACAAAGGGUAAAAUAUUUAACUUCAGCAGUAUUUGAUUAUAUUCUGCGCAGUAAGAAAACCUGAAAUCAUUUUCAAGGUCCACCAUUUCUUUUUUUUAGUCAGAUCAAGUUUCUAAGCUUUCUAAAUCUCUGUUUUCCAGCUAAUGAAAAGAAAAUAGGAUUCCCCCGAGUCUCCUAUCUACCUACUCCAGGACUUCUUGAGGAUCAAAUGAGAUGAGGCAAGGGAAAACGCUUCACAGACAUUUGGUUAAAGUGCGAAAUGUUGGCGCCUGCUAUAAAGCAAGUCCUGUUUCUGGGGUGAAGAAACUGCAAGGAGGCUAGUUGUCGCUAGGGAGAGGAAGCCAGGUGUUGCUACGUGAUGUCAUUACUCGGACAGACACUUAGCAUAUUAGCCUUUUAUAUAUAUACUAGAGGCCCGGUGCACAAAAAUUUGUGCACUCGGGGGGAAGGGCGGGGGUCCCUCAGCCCGGCCUGUGCCCUCUCGCAGUCUGGGACCCCUCGGGAAAUAACAACCUGCUGGCUUAGGCCCGCUCCCGGGUGGCAGAGGGCAGGCCCAAUCCCUAGGUGCAGCCCCUGGUCGGGCUCAGAGCAGGGC